AGGGGAAGAACUUCCCAGCAGAAGGAGCAUGUGUGGAGGCUUGGAGGUCAAAAAAUGCUGAUGGGACUGGUUAUGGAUGGGGCAGAGAAUUUGAGGAACCCUGGAGCCCCACUGGUCGGGACUCCUGUGGACAGCCAUGCUCAUCUCUCUGGCCAUCGUCAUUGCCCUCCCCAAGCCCCAUGGCAUCCGGGCCUUAAUUGCCUCCACAAUUCUACGAUUGAUAUUUUCAGUCGGGUUACAACCCACGUUGUUUCUUCUGGGCGCUUUCAAUGUAUGCAAUAAAAUCAUCUUUCUAAUGAGCUUUGUGGGCAACUGUGGGACAUUCACAAGAGGCUACCGAGCCAUGGUUCUGGAUGUUGAGUUCCUCUAUCAUUUGUUGUAUCUGGUGAUCUGUGCCAUGGGGCUCUUUGUCCAUGAAUUCUUCUACAGUCUGCUGCUUUUUGAUUUAGUGUACAGAGAAGAGACUUUGCUUAAUGUCAUUAAAAGUGUCACUCGCAAUGGACGGUCCAUCAUCCUGACAGCAGUUCUGGCUCUGAUCCUCGUUUACCUGUUCUCGAUAGUGGGCUACCUUUUCUUCAAGGAUGACUUUAUCUUGGAAGUAGAUAGGCUGCCCAAUGAAACAGCUGUUCCAG
rnacentral:sRNA from 1 species